AAGGCCUACGGGAGGCAGCAGUGAGGAAUAUUGGUCAAUGGCCGAGAGGCUGAACCAGCUAAGUCGCGUGAGGGAUGACGGCCCUACGGGUUGGAAAACUCUUUUGUCGGGGAGCAAGACCCGCCUCGUGCAGGCGGAGCGAGAGUACCCGAAGAAAAAGCAUCGGCUAACUCCGUGCCAGCAGCCGCGGUAAUACGGAGGAUGCGAGCGUUAUCCGGAUUUAUUGGGGUUAAAGGGUGCGCAGGCGGAACAUCAA
rnacentral:rRNA from 1 species